GCUGAGGUAGCCAAGCGGCCCACGGCGCCGGUCUUGAACUCGGACCAUCGGCGAAAGCGAGCGGUCCGACGGGGGAACCGGUGGCGCUCACGCGCCUCGUGAGUUCAAAUCUCACCCUCAGCG
rnacentral:tRNA from 1 species